rnacentral:rRNA from 1 species
GAUGAACGCUGGCGGCGUGCCUAAUACAUGCGAGUCGAGCGAACAGACGAGGAGCUUGCUCCUUUGACGUUAGCGGCGGACGGGUGAGUAACACGUGGAUAACCUACCUAUAAGACUGGGAUAACUUCGGGAAACCGGAGCUAAUACCGGAUAACAUGUUGAACCGCAUGGUUCAACAGUGAAAGACGGUCUUGCUGUCACUUAUAGAUGGAUCCGCGCCGCAUUAGCUAGUUGGUAAGGUAACGGCUUACCAAGGCAACGAUGCGUAGCCGACCUGAGAGGGUGAUCGGCCACACUGGAACUGAGACACGGUCCAGACUCCUACGGGAGGCAGCAGUAGGGAAUCUUCCGCAAUGGGCGAAAGCCUGACGGAGCAACGCCGCGUGAGUGAAGAAGGUCUUCGGAUCGUAAAACUCUGUUAUUAGGGAAGAACAAAUGUGUAAGUAACUAUGCACGUCUUGACGGUACCUAAUCAGAAAGCCACGGCUAACUACGUG